rnacentral:tRNA from 1 species
UCAGGAAAUAGUAUAUGGUUUAGUACUUUUUGUUUACACCAAAAAAGAGAGUUUUUCUUUCCUGAUC